rnacentral:rRNA from 1 species
GCCAACCUUGAAAUACCACCCUGGUUCAUUUGAGGUUCUAACCUUGGUCCGUUAUCCGGAUCGGGGACAGUGCAUGGUAGGCAGUUUGACUGGGGCGGUCUCCUCCUAAAGUGUAACGGAGGAGUUCGAAGGUACGCUAAUUACGGUCGGACAUCGUGAUGAUAGUGCAAUGGCAUAAGCGUGCUUAACUGCGAGACCGACAAGUCGAGCAGGUACGAAAGUAGGACAUAGUGAUCCGGUGGUUCUGUAUGGUAGGGCCAUCGCUCAACGGAUAAA